rnacentral:rRNA from 1 species
GUGGGGAAUAUUGCACAAUGGGGGGAACCCUGAUGCAGCGACGCCGCGUGAGUGAAGAAGUAAUUCGUUACGUAAAGCUCUAUCAGCAGGGAAGAAAAUGACGGUACCUGACUAAGAAGCCCCGGCUAACUACGUGCCAGCAGCCGCGGUAAUACGUAGGGGGCAAGCGUUAUCCGGAUUUACUGGGUGUAAAGGGAGCGUAGACGGCUGUGCAAGUCUGAAGUGAAAGCCCGCGGCUCAACCGGGGGACUGCUUUGGAAACUGUAAAGCUGGAGUGCAGGAGGGGUGGGCGGAAUUCCUAGUGUAGCGGUGAAAUGCGUAGAUAUUAGGAGGAACACCAGUGGCGAAGGCGGCUUACUGGACUGUAACUGACGUUGAGGCUCGAAAGCGUGGGGAGCAAACAGGA